ensembl:lncRNA
GGAGAAGCAGGCUUAUGUGCACACGGGUGGGGGUGACGGUGCCUAUCAUUACUGCGACCACAGCAACGACUCCACCCGAGGCUCCAGGGCUCCUGACCGGAAACGCAGACUUUCUCCGUCGGCCGGGUCCGCGCACCUUCCCCGCGGCGGGGGGGGCGGGGCGCGGCCCACAGGCGGGCCCUGGCCUCAACGGCCCCGCCCGGCUGGGCUCGCAGCGCGGUACCCCGAGCGCCCGAGCCUCCACGGCCCCGGGCGACCUCGGGCUCUCCCGCCGCAGGGCAGAGGGGCCAGGCGCGUACACCCGGGCGCCCCUCGCGGCCCCGCAGUCCCCUCCCACCGCGCGGGCACAACUUUCUUAAAGGGACAGGUGGCUCGGAUCCGCAGCCACCUGGGGGACAGACUCUUCCUGGUCCGACCCCUUUGGGGGAGAGACGAGGCCCCACAGAUCGCUCAGCCCGCCCACCUCCUUGACCCCCGGGACAGGCACGGAGUGCAAGUGUUAAAGCACCCAGCGUCCUUUUGCAGCCUAAUUCUUCUGGCCCAAAUCCUCCUCCCCCUGCUCCUGAACGCACGCUCGCGGGCACGCUGUAGCUGCCACAGUUCGCAAAGUUUGAAGAGGGGUGCCCCAGAGCGUGCGGGGCUCGUUGCUGCUGGGAAACGCCAGCUGCGAUCCCCUCGACCCUGCCCUGUAACUGACCCUUGGGGAAAAGCCCCCCGCACGACUACUGCGCAUGCUCUGAGCUGGACAGCUCCAGAGAGGGAAAUUUAAAAACGGUUGGAGCUGCGACAGCGGGCAAAUUGCGGAAUGCGAGGGGCGAGUGCGAGGGAGCCCCCUCCGGAAACCCCGCCCACCCCCGGAGCGCCGGCGUAGCGGUCCCGCGAGAUCGGCUCCAGUACCAAGGAUCAAACUCAGGACCCUUGUGCUUACCAGGCAGGCGCACCACCUCUGAGCUAAAUCCCCAGCCCUUUCAGCUAAUCUUUACAUAUUUGUUAAUUUACUCAGAAGGACUGUUUCUAACAAUGCCAUGGGCAAUGGACUCUGGUGAACAGAACAUUACUCAGCCUUCAAACAACAUCUGGCAUCUGGCUGUCCCCCAAACUGAGAUGGAUGAUGAAAGCACAUGACCUGAUGAGUGUCCCCAAAUAAUUCUCCUUACAUUAAAAUCAAAUAUAAAGGUCCCUGAUUUUCUCUGUCGAUAGAUUCUUUGCUUAGAAUUCACCCUCUGCUCUCUUGCAGUGUAUCAAAAAACUCUUCAACUGUUCUAUAUUCCUAUGACUACUGAUAAAUCCUUUUUUUUGGGGGGGGGUACCAGGGAUCGAACUUGGGACCUUGUGCUUGUGAGGCAGGCGCUGGAACCACUGAGCUAAAUCUCCAGCCCAAUAAAUCCUUUUUUUGGAUAAAUCCUUUUUUUACCAUUUGCAGCACUGGUCUCUUGUGGGCACAUGAAACUGGGUAGCUGUCCUUAAGACUCCAAGCUGCUUCUGCAGCUCUUCUCUAUAGCAGAUGGCUAUGCACAGAAAUGGCACAUGCUGAAUACGGAAAGCUGUUCUGCUCAGGGUCAUAGAGCAAAAAGAACAUACAUGUUGAGACCAGUACAAGAUGGAAACAUCAGUUAAUCUGAUCAGUUUAGUUAAGCGGAACCAAACUGUUUAUCCCAUUCCUUUGUGCUGAGAUUACCAUCAGAAUGCUUCUAGCUUGUCACAUGCCCCUACUCAAUGUCCCUUGAGUGAUCAUUUUCUUAAUUUGUCUUUUUGCUCUCAAUUCCUGGUAUUUUGAAUAAAAGCUGAACUGGCCUCACUCUGGGACUAUUUACCAUUCUUUGGAGCAGUCCCUCUGGUCUCUCAGCAUUCUUGCAAUCUUGGACUCUGAAUAAUUUGUUUUAUUCAUCUCCAGUGUCCCAGGUGGCAUUCUGCCAGUCUC